UACGGAGGAUGCGAGCGUUAUCCGGAUUUAUUGGGUUUAAAGGGUGCGUAGGCGGGAUGCCAAGUCAGCGGUAAAAAUGCGGUGCUCAACGCCGUCGAGCCGUUGAAACUGGCGUUCUUGAGUGGGCGAGAAGUAUGCGGAAUGCGUGGUUUAGCGGUGAAAUGCAUAGAUAUCACGCAGAACUCCGAUUGCGAAGGCAGCAUACCGGCGCCCUACUGACGCUGAGGCACGAAAGCGUGGGUAUCGAACAGG
rnacentral:rRNA from 1 species